ensembl:lncRNA
GUUGGCUGGAGUUGUUAAGUGGAGCUGCUGGGGCCACCUUCACUCCAAGGCGGGGAGAAGCCUGCCUGAGAAUGAAGCUGAGACAGGAGAGAGUUGAAAGAUGUUUGGCCGAGCAGCAUGUGGGAUCUUAGUUCCCCAACCAGGGAUUGAACUGGUGCCCCCUGCAUUGGAAGCAUGGAAUCUUAACCCCUGGACAACCAGGGAAGUCCCACCACAUUUGUUUGUGGUGGUGACUACAUGAUGGAGUAUGUUCAUCCAAAAUCAUGAAACAAUACACUAAAAGGAGAGAACUUUAGGAAAGAUUUCCACCUCACCGGUUCCACUGAGAGAGACACAACCAGCGGAGCAGAGACUUCAAACUUGAAUGCCUACAGGAACCAGGCAGGAGAUUUAGCAGUUGGAGAAAUUAAAUCAGAAAUUGGACCAGAGAAGCUCGAGAAUCAGAGGCAGUAGGCAUGGAGGCAUGCAGGGAGUGAGAGGCUGGCAGAGAGUUUUUAAUAAGCUAUCUAACAUGGUUUAACUUUCAAAACUUUAUAUUUUAUGUUUAUAAAAAUCUUCAAAAAUCAUAAUUUCAAAAUUCAAUUUUAAGUUUGAUUUCAUUUGUUUGCUCUAAGCUGUUUCUUGUGUCUCAUAUCUUUCUUUUCUGCACUGUGCUAAGUUGCUUCCGUCGUGUCUGACUCUUUGGGACCCUAUGGACUGUAUAGCCCACCAGGCUCCUCUGUCUAUGGGAUUCUCUAGGCAUGAAUACUGGUGUGGGUUGCAACACCCUCCUCCAGGCGAUCUUCGUGACCCAGGAAUUGAACAGCAUCUCUUAUGUCUCUUGCAUUGGCAGGUGGGUUCUUUACCACUAGCACCACCUGGGAAGCCCAUCUUUCUCUUACUUGAAUUUAAUUUUUCUUUUGCUGGAGAAUAACCUCUAGUAAUUCUUUCAAACAUAGCCUACACAGGAAAAGGACUUUUAACCUGUAUCCUCCAAGAUUUGAGGUAUAAUUUACAUAAAGUGAAAU